rnacentral:rRNA from 1 species
GAUGAACGCUGGCGGCGUGCCUAAUACAUGCAAGUCGAGCGAACAGACGAGGAGCUUGCUCCUCUGACGUUAGCGGCGGACGGGUGAGUAACACGUGGAUAACCUACCUAUAAGACUGGGAUAACUUCGGGAAGCCGGAGCUAAUACCGGAUAAUAUAUUGAACCGCAUGGUUCAAUAGUGAAAGACGGUUUUGCUGUCACUUAUAGAUGGAUCCGCGCCGCAUUAGCUAGUUGGUAAGGUAACGGCUUACCAAGGCGACGAUGCGUAGCCGACCUGAGAGGGUGAUCGGCCAAACUGGAACUGAGACACGGUCCAGACGCCUACGGGAGGCAGCAGUAGGGAAUCUUCCGCAAUGGGCGAAAGCCUGACGGAGCAACGCCGCGUGAGUGAUGAAGGUCUUCGGAUCGUAAAACUCUGUUAUUAGGGAAGAACAAAUGUGUAAGUAACUAUGCACGUCUUGACGGUACCUAAUCAGAAAGCCACGGCUAACUACGUG